rnacentral:rRNA from 1 species
UACGUAGGGUGCGAGCGUUAAUCGGAAUUACUGGGCGUAAAGCGUGCGCAGGCGGUGAUGUAAGACAGGUGUGAAAUCCCCGAGCUCAACUCGGGAACUGCGUCCGAUACUGGUGGGCUUGAAUCCGGGAGAGGGAUGCGGAAUUCCAGGUGUAGCGGUGAAAUGCGUAGAUAUCUGGAGGAACACCGGUGGCGAAGGCGGCAUCCUGGACCGGCAUUGACGCUGAGGCGCGAAAGCUAGGGGAGCAAACGGG